CCUACGGGGGGCAGCAGUUAAGGAACUUUUACAAUGCUCGAAAGAGUGAUAAAAUCAACCAGAGUGUUUUCUUUUAGAAAACUUUUGUCUGCUGUAAAAAGGCAGAUGAAUAAGGACUGGGCAAGACCGGUGCCAGCCGCCGCGGUAAUCCCGGCGGUCCGAGUCGCAUCCACAUUUAUUGGGUCUAAAACAUCCGUAGCUUGUUUUGUAAGUCUCUUGUGAAAUCCCAUCUCUCAAAUUUGGGGCGUGCAAGAGAUACUACAUUGCUAGAGAUCGGAAGACGUAAAGAGAACGAUUGAGGUAGCGGUAAAAUGUGUUAAUCUUGAUCGGACUAACAAUGGCGAAGGCACUUUACGAGUACGAAUCUGACAGUGAGGGAUGAAGGCUAGGGGCGCAAAAGGGAUUAGAUACCCCAGUAGUC
rnacentral:rRNA from 1 species